GGAUAAAGGUGAACUAGCGUUAGGUAGGUUCUGGGGAUUUUCUUUUUUUAAUCUUUUUUUUUUUUUAGAUUUUAGCCAAAAAAUUGUAGUGAGGACACUUAUAGUUUUUCAAUUUCAAACUUCAAUUUUGUGCAUUCUGUGGAUACGUCUAUCCUUUAUUAGAUAGGACAAGCAAUUUUUUUACUUGAAUAGGCAGAAUAAAAUUCUAGCUGGAAACUAUGUGACUCCUCUGUCCAACCAAAAAAAGUCUAGGGUUGUCAGGUUUUUCUAGGGAUGGUAGGGAAACAGGAAACACAACAUUUUUUCCCUAGGCCUGAGAGAUGUUUUAUAAUUAUAAAUGCAUGCAGGAAGAUGAGGAGAGAGAAAGAGCUUCGCUUCCCUCUUCACGUUGUCUCGUGUAUCCCACGUAUAUACUUUAUUGCAACUAUGUUAACAACACAGGUAUUUUAUGUAGGAACAGUCUGCAUGCAGGUAAAAGCCUCCAGCUAAGAUCAACAUUAGCCAGGGAAAGCUGCUAUAUCAGUUAACGUUGUGUAAUAGCUCUUGUAAUUGGUCUUUUUAAUCUGCCCUGCAGAAAGUACUCUCUGGGAAGCAAGGAAGACCGGAUAAAAAGGACCUCUAGCAACAGCCCUGUAGCAGGAGUCUCCACUUCUCACAGCAAGAAAUCUUCACUAAAAAAGAGUAGCCACAGCCUGACUAACCUGGCAGCCAGCUCUUCCGGCCAUGGGUCUCCUAAGGGUGGCUCAACACCCACCCACACAAGGUAGGGUAGGGAUUAUUUGCAAAGGCUGGUUUGGACAAGUCCACUAGCCUGAUUGUCCAGGGCAACUGACAGUGCUGAUCGGGCAAGUGCAUGACCUACCCCACUUGUCCGAUUGGGCAAGUAAGAUAAUUCCAUGACAGAGAUUUUGGUAUACUUGUUACCUUUCACAGUCAUAGUAUCAAGCAUUGGUCAACACAG